rnacentral:rRNA from 1 species
AGAGUUUGAUUCUGGCUCAGGACGAACGCUGGCGGCGCGCCUAACACAUGCAAGUCGAACGAGCGAGAGAGAGCUUGCUUUCUCGAGCGAGUGGCGAACGGGUGAGUAACGCGUGAGGAAUCUGCCUCAAAGAGGGGGACAACAGUUGGAAACGACUGCUAAUACCGCAUAAGCCCACGGUGCCGCAUGGCACAGAGGGAAAAGGAGUAAUCCGCUUUGAGAUGGCCUCGCGUCCGAUUAGCUAGUUGGUGAGGUAACGGCCCACCAAGGCGACGAUCGGUAGCCGGACUGAGAGGUUGAACGGCCACAUUGGGACUGAGACACGGCCCAGACUCCUACGGGAGGCAGCAGUGGGGAAUAUUGCACAAUGGGGGAAACCCUGAUGCAGCGACGCCGCGUGGAGGAAGAAGGUCUUCGGAUUGUAAACUCCUGUUGUUGGGGAAGAUAAUGACGGUACCCAACAAGGAAGUGACGGCUAACUACGUGCCAGCAGCCGCGGUAAAACGUAGGUCACAAGCGUUGUCCGGAAUUACUGGGUGUAAAGGGAGCGCAGGCGGGAAGACAAGUUGGAAGUGAAAUCUAUGGGCUCAACCCAUAAACUGCUUUCAAAACUGUUUUUCUUGAGUAGUGCAGAGGUAGGCGGAAUUCCCGGUGUAGCGGUGGAAUGCGUAGAUAUCGGGAGGAACACCAGUGGCGAAGGCGGCCUACUGGGCACCAACUGACGCUGAGGCUCGAAAGUGUGGGUAGCAAACAGGAUUAGAUACCCUGGUAGUCCACACCGUAAACGAUGAUUACUAGGUGUUGGAGGAUUGACCCCUUCAGUGCCGCAGUUAACACAAUAAGUAAUCCACCUGGGGAGUACGACCGCAAGGUUGAAACUCAAAGGAAUAGACGGGGGCCCGCACAAGCAGUGGAGUAUGUGGUUUAAUUCGACGCAACGCGAAGAACCUUACCAAGUCUUGACAUCCCUUGACAGACAUAGAAAUAUGUAAUCUCUUCGGAGCAAGGAGACAGGUGGUGCAUGGUUGUCGUCAGCUCGUGUCGUGAGAUGUUGGGUUAAGUCCCGCAACGAGCGCAACCCUUAUGGUCAGUUACUACGCAAGAGGACUCUGGCCAGACUGCCGUUGACAAAACGGAGGAAGGUGGGGAGGACGUCAAAUCAUCAUGCCCUCUAUGACUUGGGCUACACACGUACUACAAUGGCGUUAAACAAAGAGAAGCAAGACCGCGAGGUGGAGCAAAACUCAGAAACAACGUCCCAGUUCGGACUGCAGGCUGCAACUCGCCUGCACGAAGUCGGAAUUGCUAGUAAUCGUGGAUCAGCAUGCCACGGUGAAUAAGUUCCCGGGCCUUGCACA